rnacentral:tRNA from 1 species
AGGUAGCUAGUCCAGUAUAAGACCUUUGAUUUCGACUCAAAUAACCGUGACUUAGCAUCACGGCUUCCUU